GUGAACGCUGGCGGUAGGCCUAACACAUGCAAGUCGAACGGCAGCACAGUAAGAGCUUGCUCUUACGGGUGGCGAGUGGCGGACGGGUGAGGAAUACAUCGGAAUCUACUUUUUCGUGGGGGAUAACGUAGGGAAACUUACGCUAAUACCGCAUACGACCUACGGGUGAAAGGAGGGGAUCUUCGGACCUUGCGCGAUUGAAUGAGCCGAUGUCGGAUUAGCUAGUUGGCGGGGUAAAGGCCCACCAAGGCGACGAUCCGUAGCUGGUCUGAGAGGAUGAUCAGCCACACUGGAACUGAGACACGGUCCAGACUCCUACGGGAGGCAGCAGUGGGGAAUAUUGGACAAUGGGCGCAAGCCUGAUCCAGCCAUACCGCGUGGGUGAAGAAGGCCUUCGGGUUGUAAAGCCCUUUUGUUGGGAAAGAAAAGCAGCAGGUUAAUACCCCGCUGUUCUGACGGUACCCAAAGAAUAAGCACCGGCUAACUUCGUG
rnacentral:rRNA from 1 species